rnacentral:lncRNA from 1 species
CUUUAAGUUGCCUAAUCUACAAUUCUAAGGAGAAAUUGAGUCCACCUACCAUAUUCAUUUUGAACUCUUUUUCCAUUUCCUCAGCAAAAUUAAGGGUAAAGUCACUUGAGUGGGGUCCAAAAACUAUAUUAUCAACAUAAAUAUGAGUUAUUAAUAGUUUGACUUAGACCUAUGAAUGAAAAGAGUUCUAUCAACUCCCCAUCUCUCAAAACCUUUUUUCAAAAGGUAAGUUGUAAGCCUCUCAUACCAAGCCUCUCAUAUUUACAAAAGAAUGAUUCCAAUGAUUUUAGUUAAUUUGAUCAUUAAGAAAAACGAGUUCAGUUUUAUUAUUAAGAAAAAUGAUUUUAGUUUUAUUAUUAUUAUUAAAAAAAUCAUCUCAAUAUUCCUUAAAAAAUGUUUCAGCUUACAUUAAAAAAAGAGUUCAAUUAAAGAAAAAACAAAAAAAAUGAUUUCAAAUUUUAUUUUAUUUACAAGUUUGCUGAUUAAAAUAAUAUAUAAAAAAGAUGAUUGAUAAAAUCAAACUGGUACGUAAUAGAAAUAAACAUAUAAUAAUAAUAAUAAUAAUAAUAAUAAUAAUAAUAUGAUGAUGAUGAUGAAUCAAUGGAGUUAAAUAAAUCAAUGUGGCCAAUCCAAAGCAAGAAAACAAGUAACUAUACGCUAACCCAUAAUCCAAACGAAGGUCAAAUACAACAAAGACCAAUUUACGAGUGAAUGCCAUGUGGUCGGUAGCUUAUCUCCGAUUAGAACAAAAGAUGGAGACAUGGAUAUGCACCAUUUCCGUUUGGCGUCGGUUUGGCUUCAAAGGGUGCUUCCUGUGCACCUGAACUAGCUUAUCUACGAUUAGAACCAAAAGGUGAUGGAGACAUGGCUGCACCAUUUCCGUUGGCAUCGGUUUGACUUCAAAGGGCGUUUCUUGUGUACUUGAAGAUGGAAAAUAUAAAUUUAUUAGAAACUUACUUUUCAUCAACAGUGUUUCGUCUUGAGGUCCACCUUUUCAAUUCUACUUCAUAAUGCUUGGUUGGUGCUAGUGAGAAAAUUUGGACUCAAACUGAACUAGGCACAUCCCCCUAAGUCCAAAGGGUGGUUCAGUUCAUACAAGAAAAUAAUUUUUACAACUCUUAUUUGAAAAUUUAUUUUUACAAUUUGAAAAUUUAUUUAUGUAAUACAAAUAAACAUAAAAUAAUAAUAAUAAUAAUAAUAAUAUGACAAAUCUAUAGUUGAUGGCCUAUUUGAAAUAAGGAUGAAAAUAUCGGUAAUCAUGGAUAUAUCGGUAACUUGAUUUUAUGGAUAUAUUGGAUAUAUCGGAGAAAUAUCGAUGAAUAUUUUGAAAAAAAAUUUUUGUAAGCAAAAAAUUGAUCAAAACUCAUGGAAAUGUAAAAAAAAACCUUGUAUUAAUAUAAUUAAAAGUAUAAUAGACAAUUUAAAGUUGUUUUGGUGAAGAAUUUGAUAUAUAUAGAUAUAUAUAAUAUGAUUUGCGAUAUUAUACAUAAUUAUAUUAUAUCAGUUGUACUUAUACACUCAUUAUGAAGUUUCAUAAAAAACUUAUUUUAGUAAAUAUCAAUAAUUUAUACAUAUUAUUAUAUAGCUUGAGGUUCAAUUCUGACCAUUGGAUCACAUCCAGUUUUAAUUUGAACCAUAGAUACACAAGGAUCAAAAUUGAAAUAUCAAUAAAAUAUUUUAUUUGAGAUUUAAUUUCUAAAAUUUUAUUAAAAAUACGUGAUAAUAACUUUUUUUUUAUUAAUAUUAAUUUAUUUAAAUAAUUAAAAUUAUUAAUAAUUUAUCUUAUUAAAUUAAUUUUUAAUUUAUAAAAUAUAUCGAUAAAAAAUGGAAAUUUUAAUCCAUGGUUGUGAUUUAAUAAAAAUAAAGAUGAAUAAUUAAUAAUUAUUUAUAUAGAGAGUGGAAAAUUGUUCUCAUGAUAUGUUUCUUCUUCUUUUUUAAUCCCUACUAAAUCUAAAAAUAAAAUGGGCCACCCACUUCUCUCACUCGGCAUCAAGAAGCCCUUUUUCUGGAGUUGCCCUCCAAACGAGAGAAUCCCUAAUAAGGCCCUAUUUUCCGCCGCCACUCUCAAUCCUCCCAGGUACUAAUCUAAUCUUGUUAUUUAUUUUUAUUUUUCUGCAACCCCGUUUGAUUCCCAAGAAAAUCCAUCCCCCAUUCGUUUUCCGGGAAAGUUCAUCCUCGUUUGAUUUCCGAGCAAAUCCAUGCAAAACCCCCAAGGAAAACCAGAAAGAUUGCUUUUUUUUUUUUGCUUCCUGUGUUUUCUGGAUCUGUUCUAGUGGUCGCUUUGCUUUUGUGCCAUUGGAUUUAAAUUUCACGAACCCUAAAUCCACGAUUUUUGAGCCAGGUUAAAAAACACAACCUUUGCCUGCAAAUCAUGAUUAGAUUUUGUAUCUUGUGCGCGGGCUGGACUGGUAGGAAAUAUCGGGAAAUUUCCCGAAAAAUCUGAAAUAAAAUCGGCGAUACAAACCGAAAAUUCGCCGAUAAAUUGCAGUAUCCGACGAUUUUUGGAAGAUUUUGCCGAUUUUUCGCCUGCAUCCAUUUUUCGGCGGUUUUUUCGCCGACUUUAACCGAAAUUUGGCGAAAUUUCUCCCAUCGACAUUUCGCCCCCCUCUUUCGUAUCGCCGGCCACCGAAACCCAAAAUUUUGGCGAAAAAAGUGGAAACUUUCAUCCUUGAUUUGGAAAAGGUGCUUGAUGGAGGAAUGCACCAUCGUCUUCCGUUGCCGCAUGCCCAUUUCCGUUUGGCAUUUUGAAACUUUAUGUUUCGACAGCUCAAACGGAACUAAAGGCAGAUCCCCUCAAGUCCGAUGGUGGAAAAGGUGCUUGAUGGAGGGAUGCACUACCGUUUUCCGUUUGUCAUUCGGCCGCAUGCCCAUUUCCGUUUGGCAUUUGGCUUCAAACAAACUGAGCUUAUUUUUCGUCAACUCAAACGGGAACUAAAGGCAGAUCCCCUCAAGUCCGAUGGGGUGGUUCAGUUUGUCUCACUGCUAUAAAUAAUACACCACCUGAAGCUUAGCCAUUCACAAUAUUAUUUCUUCAAGCUCAGUCAUUGUAAUGUUUCUUUAUUUAUUUGUUUGUUUUCUUGUUGUAUAUUUCAUGGAAGCAGCUUUAUUGGGUUUCUUCCUUCUUUGCAGGGAAAUUCAUAAUGGCAAGAACACAGCAGAAGAAAUCGCUAUGGACCCCAGAAGAAGACGAUAAGCUCAAAGAAUUUAGGCACAAAUACCCCAAUCUAUCUUGGCCAGCUAUCGCAAAGCAGGCAGAGCUGAACAGGACUGGUAAGAGUUGUUGGGAGAGUUGGGAGAACAAUCUGAAUCCUGAUAUCAACAAAGGGGAAUUCUCCCCACAGGAAGAUGAACUCAUCAUCCCGCUAAAGAGCGCCGGUGUGAGGUAAUGAGAAUCAUCCUCAUAUUUUUCCAUUAUCAUAUGAUAUGAUAUAAUAGUGUGGUGAUCAGCUUGAGUCUGAGGUGGAGUUCCUGUGUUGUGUUGCUUGCAGCUGGGCAUCUAUGGCAAAAAAUGAUCUUCGUGGGCGAGCUCCUAAUGCUAUCAAGAACCGGUGGAACAACCACUUAAAGAAGAGGCAUGCGAUUAUAAGUGACCUUAGGCGACACCUCCUCUACCUAGAGGAACACCUCAUGGAUGAUAAGGCUAGUGAUUACUCUGUCCGGGGAGGUGACCUUAAGGCUUUGAUGGCUGAGUUUGCUUCUUUGAUUCCCAACGUUGAUCCAAAUGAGACUAGUGAUCACUCUAUCCGGGGAGAUGACCUUGAGGCUUUGAUGGCCAAGUUUGCUUCUUUGAUUCCCAAUGUUGACCCAAAUGAGAGUAGUGAUCACUCUAUCCGGGAAGAUGACCUUGAGGCUUUGAUGGCCAAGUUUGCUUCUUUGAUUCCCAACGUUGAUGCAAAUGAGACUAGUGAUCGCUCUAUCCGGGGAGAUGACCUUGAGGCUUUGAUGGCCAAGUUUGCUUCUUUGAUUCCCAAUGUUGACCCAAAUGAAAGUAGUGAUCACUCUAUCCGGGAAGAUGACCUUGAGGCUUUGAUGGCCAAGUUUGCUUCUUUGAUUCCCAACGUUGAUCCAAAUGAGACUAGUGAUCACUCUAUCCGGGGAGAUGACCUUGAGGCUUUGAUGGCCAAGUUUGCUUCUUUGAUUCCCAACGUUGAUCCAAAUGAGACUAGUGAUCACUCUAUCCGGGGAGAUGACCUUGAGGCUUUGAUGGCCAAGUUUGCUUCUUUGAUUCCCAACGUUGAUCCAAGUGCAAUUAGUUCGAUUCCUGAAUACACCAGCUGAAGAAAUCGCCAAGUUAAAGUGUAAUGAGAGUCCAAAGUACUAUGUCUUUGAGUGUCCUAUAUAUGUAUAUAUAUGUUUGCUGCUAAAUCAAGCAUCAU